rnacentral:tRNA from 1 species
GCCCUUAAUGCGUUUUGAACACGGCGACUGUUAAUCAGGGGGUCGUUGGUUCGAGUCCAACUUCGGGCGCCA